GUGAGGAAUAUUGGUCAAUGGGCGGGAGCCUGAACCAGCCAAGUCGCGUGAAGGAAGAAGGAUCUAUGGUUCGUAAACUUCUUUUGCAGGGGAAUAAAGUGCAGGACGUGUCCUGUUUUGUAUGUACCCUGAGAAUAAGGAUCGGCUAACUCCGUGCCAGCAGCCGCGGUAAUACGGAGGAUCCGAGCGUUAUCCGGAUCUAUUGGGUUUAAAGGGUGCGUAGGUGGUUUGAUAAGUCAGCGGUGAAAGUUUGCAGCUUAACUGUAAAAAUGCCGUUGAAACUGUCGGACUUGAGUGUAAAUGAGGUAGGCGGAAUGCGUGGUGUAGCGGUGAAAUGCAUAGAUAUCACGCAGAACUCCGAUUGCGAAGGCAGCUUACUAAGCUACAACUGACACUGAAGCACGAAAGCGUGGGGAUCAAACAGGAUUAGAUACCCGAGUAGUCC
rnacentral:rRNA from 1 species